rnacentral:rRNA from 1 species
AUUGAACGCUGGCGGCAUGCCUUACACAUGCAAGUCGAACGGUAACGGGCCUUCGGGUGCCGACGAGUGGCGAACGGGUGAGUAAUACAUCGGAACGUGCCCGAUCGUGGGGGAUAACGAGGCGAAAGCUUUGCUAAUACCGCAUACGAUCUACGGAUGAAAGCAGGGGACCGCAAGGCCUUGCGCGGACGGAGCGGCCGAUGGCAGAUUAGGUAGUUGGUGGGAUAAAAGCUUACCAAGCCGACGAUCUGUAGCUGGUCUGAGGGGAUGAUCAGCCACACUGGGACUGAGACACGGCCCAGACUCCUACGGGAGGCAGCAGUGGGGAAUUUUGGACAAUGGGCGCAAGCCUGAUCCAGCCAUGCCGCGUGCAGGAUGAAGGCCUUCGGGUUGUAAACUGCUUUUGUACGGAACGAAAAGCCUUCUUUUAAUACAGGAGGGUCAUGACGGUACCGUAAGAAUAAGCACCGGCUAACUACGUG